GGCGAAGCGUGCGAUUGGAUUGCACGUCUAAGCAGUAAGGCUGGGUAUUAGGCAAAUCCGGUACUCGUUAAGGCUGAGCUGUGAUGGGGAGAAGACAUUGUGUCUUCGAGUCGUUGAUUUCACACUGCCGAGAAAAGCCUCUAGAUAGAAAAUAGGUGCCCGUACCGCAAACCGACACAGGUAGUCAAGAUGAGAAUUCUAAGGUGAGCGAGCGAACUCUCGUUAAGGAACUCGGCAAAAUGACCCCGUAACUUCGGGAGAAGGGGUGCUCUUUAGGGUUAACGCCCAGAAGAGCCGCAGUGAAUAGGCCCAAGCGACUGUUUAUCAAAAACACAGGUCUCUGCUAAACCGUAAGGUGAUGUAUAGGGGCUGACGCCUGCCCGGUGCUGGAAGGUUAAGAGGAGUGGUUAGCUUCUGCGAAGCUACGAAUCGAAGCCCCAGUAAACGGCGGCCGUAACUAUAACGGUCCUAAGGUAGCGAAAUUCCUUGUCGGGUAAGUUCCGACCCGCACGAAAGGCGUAACGAUUUGGGCACUGUCUCAACGAGAGACUCGGUGAAAUCAUAGUACCUGUGAAGAUGCAGGUUACCCGCGACAGGACGGAAAGACCCCGUGGAGCUUUACUGUAGCCUGAUAUUGAAAUUCGGCACAGCUUGUACAGGAUAGGUAGGAGCCUUUGAAACGUGAGCGCUAGCUUACGUGGAGGCGCUGGUGGGAUACUACCCUAGCUGUGUUGGCUUUCUAACCCGCACCACUUAUCGUGGUGGGAGACAGUGUCAGGCGGGCAGUUUGACUGGGGCGGUCGCCUCCUAAAAGGUAACGGAGGCGCUCAAAGGUUCCCUCAGAAUGGUUGGAAAUCAUUCAUAGAGUGUAAAGGCAUAAGGGAGCUUGACUGCGAGACCUACAAGUCGAGCAGGGUCGAAAGACGGACUUAGUGAUCCGGUGGUUCCGCAUGGAAGGGCCAUCGCUCAACGGAUAAAAGCUACCCCGGGGAUAACAGGCUUAUCUCCCCCAAGAGUUCACAUCGACGGGGAGGUUUGGCACCUCGAUGUCGGCUCAUCGCAUCCUGGGGCUGUAGUCGGUCCCAAGGGUUGGGCUGUUCGCCCAUUAAAGCGGUACGCGAGCUGGGUUCAGAACGUCGUGAGACAGUUCGGUCCCUAUCCGUCGUGGGCGUAGGAAAUUUGAGAGGAGCUGUCCUUAGUACGAGAGGACCGGGAUGGACAUACCUCUGGUGUACCAGUUGUCGUGCCAACGGCAUAGCUGGGUAGCUAUGUGUGGACGGGAUAAGUGCUGAAAGCAUCUAAGCAUGAAGCCCCCCUCAAGAUGAGAUUUCCCAACUUCGGUUAUAAGAUCCCUCAAAGAUGAUGAGGUUAAUAGGUUCGAGGUGGAAGCAUGGUGACAUGUGGAGCUGACGAAUACUAAUCGAUCGAAGACUUAAUCAA
rnacentral:rRNA from 1 species